UGGUGUUUUCUUUUGGGUGAACUCAAUGUGUUUUUGGCUUUUGUACCACCAAAUCAAUUCUGUGCAUGACAUUUACAAGUUGAGGCGCCUGUGUUACUGAUACUGGACACUUCUCAACUAUUGACUAAUUCUGACUGCUUCAUGUUUACGCUUCCUUACAAGCUACAGAAUGAUGAGUCAUGUACAAAAAUAAUCCUUCUUUGUGUUGACAUCAAAAGACAAAGGCGACGAAAGCUUUUAAAGAACAGGGAAGACGUCGAGGGGAGCAGGAAGGUUUGCAGGCAGCAUUUCGAUUUCCACCAUCUUCAAUUCAUCCUUAACAGCAGUACGUUGUUGCAUGUUUCUCUGAAGGUCUGAUCUUCACUGAUUUAACUGCAUGUGAUGGCCUGGCCACCCGGGACGCAAGACAUCCUGGCCCCACACAGACGUCCUCUUGUGCAGAGGUGGUUUUACCCAAACGUUCCCGUUCCCCAUAUAUUCUUCCCCUUCACUUAUUGACACUACCAGAUUUGACAGUGAGCCUAACACACAUACACACUGCCCCCCCCCAUACACUAUGUCUCUUAGUUAUAUGUGAAUAUGUUUGAGGAUUUGAACAAAAUAAAAUAAAAUAAUUUUUGAGAAUUCUAGGAGCCAAUACACUAAUGUAGGUGUCUGCAACCUGCGGCUCUUUAACACCUCUGUAGUGGCUCCCUGUAGCUUUCACACACAAAAAAACAUGGAACUAAAUAUUUAUUGUUAUGUAUUUGUUGCACAGUGGACAAUCUUUCUAAGGUGAUAUUGAGACACUGAUAUGGGGGGUGGGGGACAUUUGUGAGGCUGCUGUGAAUUGUUUAAAAGCCAAAUAAAUUAACACCAUCACCAUGUGGAUGAAAACACACUGAAACGGACAUAAUUAGGUACAAACUGGCCUAUUUUUUCAUGUUUACUCAUUGUAAGCUAUUAGGCUGCAGCUAUAUGGUUUCUUUGUUUCAAACUGGGAUAAAUAUAUUUUUUUUUCAUUUCAUUUUUAUAUUGUAUUUUUUUAUUAUCUUGUGUAUUUUUAUAUUACAUUAAUUUCCUUUUUAUUUGAGUCAACAAAUAUGGGGAGGACUCAAAUAGUCCUGCAUAGUUCUGUGUUUCUCUCUUUUCAAAGUAGGCCUGAACAUGCCACUGUAUUUUUUCCUUCUCUUCAAAAGAUUUUGGUGUUUUCCUUUGUUAAAGCAGGUAAAAUAAAUAAAUAUAUAUAGAAAACUUUUAAGCUGUGGUAUCAAAUACGUUUUGCAGCUCCAGAUACAUUUUAUUUGGUGGAAGAGGGGCAAAAUGGCUCUUUUGAUAGAAAAGGUUACCUACCCCUGCACUAAUGAAUGGCUAAUGAAGAGAAAUGUUUUUAUUUAAGCAAAACCAGGUCACACUACAUGUUUUUCUACCGGUUUGGUUUAUAAUAUAUAUUUCAUGCUGUAAUGGUGUGUGUGUUGACUGUUGCAUAUAAGAGUCCCCUU
rnacentral:lncRNA from 1 species